CGAGUCAACGUAGAAAUACGUGGCGAACGGCUCAGUAACACGUAGUCAACAUGCCCAGGGGCACGUGGAUAACCUCGGGAAACCGAGGAUAAACCGCGAUAGGCCAUGAUUUCUGGAAUGGUUCAUGGCUGAAAUCUAUAUGGCCUCUGGAUUGGACUGCGGCCGAUCAGGCUGUUGGUGAGGUAAUGGCCUACCAAACCUGUAACCGGUACGGGCUUUGAGAGGAGGAGCCCGGAGAUGGGCACUGAGACAAGGGCCCAGGCCCUAUGGGGCGCAGCAGGCGCGAAAUCUCUGCAAUAGGCGAAAGCUUGACAGGGUUACUCUGAGUGAUCUCCGCUAAGGGGAUCUUUUGGCACCUCUAAAAAUGGUGCAGAAUAAGGGGUGGGCA
rnacentral:rRNA from 1 species